rnacentral:tRNA from 1 species
GGAGGAGGAUCGGAUCCCGGUGGACCGCACGGGCUUCAAACCCGUUGGGACGCGCCAGGCGUGUUUGGUGGGUUCGACUCCCACCCUCUUCCGCCA